AUGAUUGAAGGUUGUAUCAGCUUUACUUCGAGUGUCUCUAUUACAAUAAAUUUACUUGGAUUAAAUUGCGAAAUUCUCCCAAAUUCAACCCCUUGAUGGAGGAAAUACAUCAAUUUUCUCUUCAAAUAAUUGUAAUCUAAAGCGACAGGAUAGAAUUUCUUAUUUGGUGAUACAUUUGAGUUUGAUUGUCUUCAACCUCUGUUUUUGAGGUCAGCAGUCGCUGGGCCAUGGCAAAAAUCGGCAAAACCAACACUACCCAAUUUUGUCUUCAAGCCUAUGCAUAUAAGCCUUUGUUUUUCUUCUGUUUCACUCAUACUUCCAAUCUCCAUCACUGCUUUUUUAGCUUUCUUGGUUUUCUUUGUCAGCUUUGAGAGAAACCCUUUUGCCUAAAAGGAGUUUGGGUCAUUCAGUUACCACAUCCAGGCUUUAAGCCCUGAUUAUGGGUUCAGGAAUUUGGUAUAAGAAUAUAAUCAGCAAAAGGAAAGUUAAAUCACGUAAAGCGAAGAUGAUGGCUGCAGAGAGGAUCUCUGCUCUCUCAGAGGGUGUCUAGCACUAGCGAAUGGCUGCAGUGUCGUUCUCUCCAGAGAAUAUGUUGCUGCUAGAAAGAUUCAGACUGCAUAUAUACCGUGCACAUGUUGCAAGGAGAAGUGUUUGUCGAAUGAGAGGAAACGCAAGGUUACAGAAGCUGGUGCAGUGUGAUUCUGUUAAGAAUCAAGCACAUACUACCUUGGGUUGACUGCAUCAUUCGAUUUGAUGGUGUUCGAUCCUGUAUAGUAUUUGUCAAUAUAAUUAUUGGCGGUGUUCGAUUUGAUGGAUCAGAUAAGAUCAAGCCGCAUCAUUCGAUUAGGGCUUGAUACUUAAUCUCGGGACAUUGACACAUGCAAUUCAUGGUCAUAUCAUUGUUCCAAGUAACAAGUAGUACUAGUAAGUUUCCUUAAUCAGUUUCAAAUCAAUUUAUCACCAUCAAUUAUAUAGUUUCCCAGCUCUUAACUAAUUGUAGACAACAAAUUGACAGCUGAGUAAUUAUGGGAUCCUUUGAACUUAUAUAGUGGAAAAUAGCACAGCUGUUAAAGAUAAAUAAGUGGAUAAUUGAUUGAUUAAAAUGCCUAAGGAGAAUAAGAGGGAUUGGUUGUGUAUAAUAGUAGCUUUUGAGUACUAACUACUAAAUGAAGCAAAAUUAUUGCAUCAGUACUCAGCUGCACUUGUUAAUAAUUAUGCCAGCUUACAAUAUCACAUGGGAGUCAUUGCCUGAUUGCACUUUUUGCUAUUUUCACACCCCUUUAGACCUCCAAAGUAAGGGCACUCGCAACGACAUCGAAAAACGGGCUAGACCUGAGGCGCUCCCGAGAAACACCUAUAGCAGUGGAGCAAUGUCGGCCGAGGCCAUGGGUUGGACCUGAGCGGCAGACAUUGCGGUCUAAGCUGCACGCGCGCCUACCUUUCACCGCCCAAUCAAGCAGCACAUUUGUGAGCGAGGAGAGGGAAGAAAGAGUUUUUUUUUAAUUUCUUUUAUUUUUUUCAUUUAUCCAAUUUUGUUCAUUUCUUUUCUUUAAUUAUUUAUUUGUGCUAGUUUAAUUAAAAACGAAUUUUCUCAUUUCUAAUUAGGAUUUUUAUGUGAUUUGUAAUUUUUUUAUAUUUUCAUUAUGAAACUUUCAUAUUUCUAAUUA